rnacentral:rRNA from 1 species
GAUGAGCGCUGGCGGCGUGCCUAAUACAUGCAAGUCGAGCGAACGGACGAGAAGCUUGCUUCUCUGAUGUUAGCGGCGGACGGGUGAGUAACACGUGGAUAACCUACCUAUAAGACUGGGAUAACUUCGGGAAACCGGAGCUAAUACCGGAUAAUAUUUUGAACCGCAUGGUUCAAAAGUGAAAGACGGUCUUGCUGUCACUUAUAGAUGGAUCCGCGCUGCAUUAGCUAGUUGGUAAGGUAACGGCUUACCAAGGCAACGAUGCAUAGCCGACCUGAGAGAGUGAUCGGCCACACUGGAACUGAGACACGGUCCAGACUCCUACGGGAGGCAGCAGUAGGGAAUCUUCCGCAAUGGGCGAAAGCCUGACGGAGCAACGCCGCGUGAGUGAUGAAGGUCUUCGGAUCGUAAAACUCUGUUAUUAGGGAAGAACAUAUGUGUAAGUAACUGUGCACAUCUUGACGGUACCUAAUCAGAAAGCCACGGCUAACUACGUG